GCCUCGGUGGAUCAUGGUGGAACGUCCCUGAUACUUGAGCCGGCACCACCACUUCUACAGCGGGAAGAUGGGGGUUCGAAUCCCUCCCGAGGCA